rnacentral:rRNA from 1 species
AUUGAACGCUGGCGGCAUGCCUUACACAUGCAAGUCGAACGGUAACGCGCCUUCGGGUGCCGCCGAGUGGCGAACGGGGGCGUAAUACAUCGGAACGUGCCCGAUCGUGGGGGAUAACGAGGCGAAAGCUUUGCUAAUACCGCAUACGAUCUACGGCUGAAAGCGGGGGACCGCAAGGCCUUGCGCGGACGGAGCGGCCGAUGGCAGAUUAGGUAGUUGGUGGGAUAAACGCGUACCAAGCCGACGAUCUGUAGCUGGUCUGAGAGGAUGAUCAGCCACACUGGGACUGAGACACGGCCCAGACUCCUACGGGAGGCAGCAGUGGGGAAUUUUGGACAAUGGGCGCAAGCCUGAUCCAGCCAUGCCGCGUGCAGGAUGAAGGCCUUCGGGUUGUAAACUGCUUUUGUACGGAACGAAAAGCCUUCUUUUAAUACAGGAGGGUCAUGACGGUACCGUAAGAAUAAGCACCGGCUAACUACGUG